rnacentral:misc_RNA from 1 species
UCCGGCUUUCACCGGCUGUCUCGUUAGAGUGCCCAGCUCUACCUGCUGGCAACUAACAAUAAGGGUUGCGCUCGUUGCGGGACUGAACCCAACAUCUCACGACACGAGCUGACGACAACCAUGCACCACCUGUCUCCACUGUCCCGAAGGCCUAGCUUAUCUCUAAACUAUUCAGUGGGAUGUCAAGCCCUGGUAAGGUUCUUCGCGUUGCUUCGAAUUAAACCACAUGCUCCACCGCUUGUGCGGGCCCCCGUCAAUUCCUUUGAGUUUCAGCCUUGCGGCCGUACUCCCCAGGCGGAGUGCUUAUUGGGUUUCCUUCGGCACUGAGGGUGGUACCCCCCAACACCUAGCACUCAUCGUUUACGGCGUGGACUAC